GACGAACGCUGGCGGCGUGCUUAACACAUGCAAGUCGAACGGAAAGGCCCGGCUCUUGUGGCGUGCUCGAUUGGCGAACGGGUGAGUAAAACGUGAGUAACCUGCCCUUGUCUUUGGGGUAACUUCAGGAAACUGGGGCUAAUACCGGAUAGGAGCUCCUGCUGCAUGGGGGUGGUUGGAAAGAUUCGGCGGUUGGGGCUGGACUCGCGGCUUAUCAGCUUGUUGGUGGGGUAGUGGCUGACCAAGGCUUUGACGGGUAGGCGGCCUUAGAGGGUGACCGGCCACAGUGGGACUAAGAUACGGACCAGACUCCUACGGGAGGCAGCAGUGGGGAAUAUUGCACAAUGGGCGGAAGCCUGAUGCAGCAACGCCGCGUGCGGGAUGACGGCCUUCGGGUUGUAAACCGCUUUCGCCUGUGACGAAGCGUGAGUGACGGUAAUGGGUAAAGAAGCACCGGCUAACUACGUG
rnacentral:rRNA from 1 species